AGCAUAUCAAUAAGCGGAGGAAAAGAAACCAACAGGGAUUGCCCCAGUAACGGCGAGUGAAGCGGCAACAGCUCAAAUUUGAAAUCUGGCCCCAGGCCCGAGUUGUAAUUUGCAGAGGAUGCUUUUGGCGCGGUGCCUUCCGAGUUCCCUGGAACGGGACGCCAUAGAGGGUGAGAGCCCCGUACGGUUGGACACCAAGCCUUUGUAAAGCUCCUUCGACGAGUCGAGUAGUUUGGGAAUGCUGCUCUAAAUGGGAGGUACAUUUCUUCUAAAGCUAAAUAUUGGCCAGAGACCGAUAGCGCACAAGUAGAGUGAUCGAAAGAUGAAAAGCACUUUGAAAAGAGGGUUAAACAGCACGUGAAAUUGUUAAAAGGGAAGCGCUUGUGACCAGACUUGCGUCCGGUGAAUCACCCAGCUCUCGCGGCUGGGGCACUUCGCCGGCACAGGCCAGCAUCAGCUUGCCGUCGGGGACAAAAGCUUCAGGAACGUGGCUCCUCUCGGGGAGUGUUAUAGCCUGUUGCACAAUACCCUUCGGCGGGCUGAGGUACGCGCUCCGCAAGGAUGCUGGCGUAAUGGUCAUCAGCGACCCGUCUUGAAACACGGACCAAGGAGUCAACCUUAUGUGCGAGUGUUUGGGUGUUAAACCCCUACGCGUAAUGAAAGUGAACGCAGGUGAGAGCUUCGGCGCAUCAUCGACCGAUCCUGAUGUUCUCGGAUGGAUUUGAGUAAGAGCAUAUAGGGUUGGACCCGAAAGAAGGUGAACUAUGCGUGUGUAGGGUGAAGCCAGAGGAAACUCUGGUGGAGGCUCGCAGCGGUUCUGACGUGCAAAUCGAUCGUCAAACAUGCGCAUGGGGGGCGAAAGACUAAUCGAACCUUCUAGUAGCUGGUU
rnacentral:rRNA from 1 species